ACAGAGAGCUUGCUCUCGGGUGACGAGUGGCGGACGGGUGAGUAAUGUCUGGGAAACUGCCUGAUGGAGGGGGAUAACUACUGGAAACGGUAGCUAAUACCGCAUAACGUCGCAAGACCAAAGAGGGGGACCUUCGGGCCUCUUGCCAUCAGAUGUGCCCAGAUGGGAUUAGCUAGUAGGUGGGGUAACGGCUCACCUAGGCGACGAUCCCUAGCUGGUCUGAGAGGAUGACCAGCCACACUGGAACUGAGACACGGUCCAGACUCCUACGGGAGGCAGCAGUGGGGAAUAUUGCACAAUGGGCGCAAGCCUGAUGCAGCCAUGCCGCGUGUAUGAAGAAGGCCUUCGGGUUGUAAAGUACUUUCAGCGGGGAGGAAGGUGUUGAGGUUAAUAACCUCAGCAAUUGACGUUACCCGCAGAAGAAGCACCGGCUAACUCCGUGCCAGCAGCCGCGGUAAUACGGAGGGUGCAAGCGUUAAUCGGAAUUACUGGGCGUAAAGCGCACGCAGGCGGUCUGUCAAGUCGGAUGUGAAAUCCCCGGGCUCAACCUGGGAACUGCAUUCGAAACUGGCAGGCUAGAGUCUUGUAGAGGGGGGUAGAAUUCCAGGUGUAGCGGUGAAAUGCGUAGAGAUCUGGAGGAAUACCGGUGGCGAAGGCGGCCCCCUGGACAAAGACUGACGCUCAGGUGCGAAAGCGUGGG
rnacentral:rRNA from 1 species